rnacentral:rRNA from 1 species
UGCAGUCGAGCGGUAGAGAGGUGCUUGCACCUCUUGAGAGCGGCGGACGGGUGAGUAAAGCCUAGGAAUCUGCCUGGUAGUGGGGGAUAACGCUCGGAAACGGACGCUAAUACCGCAUACGUCCUACGGGAGAAAGCAGGGGACCUUCGGGCCUUGCGCUAUCAGAUGAGCCUAGGUCGGAUUAGCUAGUUGGUGAGGUAAUGGCUCACCAAGGCGACGAUCCGUAACUGGUCUGAGAGGAUGAUCAGUCACACUGGAACUGAGACACGGUCCAGACUCCUACGGGAGGCAGCAGUGGGGAAUAUUGGACAAUGGGCGAAAGCCUGAUCCAGCCAUGCCGCGUGUGUGAAGAAGGUCUUCGGAUUGUAAAGCACUUUAAGUUGGGAGGAAGGGCAUUAACCUAAUACGUUAGUGUUUUGACGUUACCGACAGAAUAAGCACCGGCUAACUCUGUGCCAGCAGCCGCGGUAAUACAGAGGGUGCAAGCGUUAAUCGGAAUUACUGGGCGUAAAGCGCGCGUAGGUGGUUCGUUAAGUUGGAUGUGAAAUCCCCGGGCUCAACCUGGGAACUGCAUUCAAAACUGUCGAGCUAGAGUAUGGUAGAGGGUGGUGGAAUUUCCUGUGUAGCGGUGAAAUGCGUAGAUAUAGGAAGGAACACCAGUGGCGAAGGCGACCACCUGGACUGAUACUGACACUGAGGUGCGAAAGCGUGGGGAGC